rnacentral:rRNA from 1 species
GCUGGCGGCGUGCUUAACACAUGCAAGUCGAACGGAAAGGCCCUGCUUUUGUGGGGUGCUCGAGUGGCGAACGGGUGAGUAACACGUGAGUAACCUGCCCUUGACUUUGGGAUAACUUCAGGAAACUGGGGCUAAUACCGGAUAGGAGCUCCUGCUGCAUGGUGGGGGUUGGAAAGUUUCGGCGGUUGGGGAUGGACUCGCGGCUUAUCAGCUUGUUGGUGGGGUAGUGGCUUACCAAGGCUUUGACGGGUAGCCGGCCUGAGAGGGUGACCGGCCACAUUGGGACUGAGAUACGGCCCAGACUCCUACGGGAGGCAGCAGUGGGGAAUAUUGCACAAUGGGCGGAAGCCUGAUGCAGCAACGCCGCGUGCGGGAUGACGGCCUUCGGGUUGUAAACCGCUUUCGCCUGUGACGAAGCGUGAGUGACGGUAAUGGGUAAAGAAGCACCGGCUAACUACGUGCCAGCAGCCGCGGUGAUACGUAGGGUGCGAGCGUUGUCCGGAUUUAUUGGGCGUAAAGGGCUCGUAGGUGGUUGAUCGCGUCGGAAGUGUAAUCUUGGGGCUUAACCCUGAGCGUGCUUUCGAUACGGGUUGACUUGAGGAAGGUAGGGGAGAAUGGAAUUCCUGGUGGAGCGGUGGAAUGCGCAGAUAUCAGGAGGAACACCAGUGGCGAAGGCGGUUCUCUGGGCCUUUCCUGACGCUGAGGAGCGAAAGCGUGGGGAGCGAACAGGCUUAGAUACCCUGGUAGUCCACGCUGUAAACGGUGGGUACUAGGUGUGGGGUCCAUUCCACGGGUUCCGUGCCGUAGCUAACGCUUUAAGUACCCCGCCUGGGGAGUACGGCCGCAAGGCUAAAACUCAAAGGAAUUGACGGGGUCCCGCACAAGCGGCGGAGCAUGCGGAUUAAUUCGAUGCAACGCGUAGAACCUUACCUGGGUUUGACAUGGAUCGGGAGUGCUCAGAGAUGGGUGUGCCUCUUUUGGGGUCGGUUCACAGGUGGUGCAUGGCUGUCGUCAGCUCGUGUCGUGAGAUGUUGGGUUAAGUCCCGCAACGAGCGCAACCCUUGUUCACUGUUGCCAGCACGUUAUGGUGGGGACUCAGUGGAGACCGCCGGGGUCAACUCGGAGGAAGGUGGGGAUGACGUCAAGUCAUCAUGCCCCUUAUGUCCAGGGCUUCACGCAUGCUACAAUGGCUGGUACAGAGAGUGGCGAGCCUGUGAGGGUGAGCGAAUCUCGGAAAGCCGGUCUCAGUUCGGAUUGGGGUCUGCAACUCGACCUCAUGAAGUCGGAGUCGCUAGUAAUCGCAGAUCAGCAACGCUGCGGUGAAUACGUUCCCGGGGCUUGUACACACCGCCCGUCAAGUCAUGAAAGUUGGUAACACCCGAAGCCGGUGGCCUAACCGUUGUGGGGGAGCCGUCGAAGGUGGGACUGGUGA